rnacentral:tRNA from 1 species
UGGGGCGUCGCCAAGUGGUAAGGCACGAGACUUUGGAUCUCGCUAUCGGGGGUUCGAAUCCUCCCGCCCCAACCA